CACACGGCGGGUGCUAACGUCCGUCGUGAAGAGGGAAACAACCCAGACCGCCAGCUAAGGUCCCAAAGUCAUGGUUAAGUGGGAAACGAUGUGGGAAGGCCCAGACAGCCAGGAUGUUGGCUUAGAAGCAGCCAUCAUUUAAAGAAAGCGUAAUAGCUCACUGGUCGAGUCGGCCUGCGCGGAAGAUGUAACGGGGCUAAACCAUGCACCGAAGCUGCGGCAGCGACACUAUGUGUUGUUGGGUAGGGGAGCGUUCUGUAAGCCUGUGAAGGUGGCCUGUGAGGGUUGCUGGAGGUAUCAGAAGUGCGAAUGCUGACAUAAGUAACGAUAAAGCGGGUGAAAAGCCCGCUCGCCGGAAGACCAAGGGUUCCUGUCCAACGUUAAUCGGGGCAGGGUGAGUCGACCCCUAAGGCGAGGCCGAAAGGCGUAGUCGAUGGGAAACAGGUUAAUAUUCCUGUACUUGGUGUUACUGCGAAGGGGGGACGGAGAAGGCUAUGUUGGCCGGGCGACGGUUGUCCCGGUUUAAGCGUGUAGGCUGGU
rnacentral:rRNA from 1 species